CCAGACUCCUACGGGAGGCAGCAGUGGGGAAUAUUGGACAAUGGGGGGAACCCUGAUCCAGCGACGCCGCGUGAGUGAAGAAGUAUUUCGGUAUGUAAAGCUCUAUCAGCAGGGAAGAAAGAAAUGACGGUACCUGACUAAGAAGCCCCGGCUAACUACGUGCCAGCAGCCGCGGUAAUACGUAGGGGGCAAGCGUUAUCCGGAUUUACUGGGUGUAAAGGGAGCGUAGACGGCGGCGCAAGCCAGAUGUGAAAGCCCGGGGCCCAACGCCGGGACUGCAUUUGGAACUGUGUGGCUGGAGUGUCGGAGAGGCAGGCGGAAUUCCUAGUGUAGCGGUGAAAUGCGUAGAUAUUAGGAGGAACACCAGUGGCGAAGGCGGCCUGCUGGACGAUGACUGACGUUGAGGCUCGAAAGCGUGGGGAGCAAACAGGAUUAGAUACCCCCGUAA
rnacentral:rRNA from 1 species